GCCAGACUCCUACGGGAGGCAGCAGUGAGGAAUAUUGGUCAAUGGGCGCGAGCCUGAACCAGCCAAGUCGCGUGAGGGAAGACGGUCCUAUGGAUUGUAAACCUCUUUUGUCGGGGAGCAAAAGACGCCACGCGUGGCGUUCCGAGAGUACCCGAAGAAAAAGCAUCGGCUAACUCCGUGCCAGCAGCCGCGGUAAUACGGAGGAUGCGAGCGUUAUCCGGAUUUAUUGGGUUUAAAGGGUGCGCAGGCGGAAGAUCAAGUCGGCGGUAAAAUUGAGGGGCUCAACCUCUUCGAGCCGUUGAAACUGGUCUUCUUGAGUGAGCGAGAAGUAUGCGGAAUGCGUGGUGUAGCGGUGAAAUGCAUAGAUAUCACGCAGAACUCCGAUUGCGAAGGCAGCAUACCGGCGCUCAACUGACGCUCAUGCACGAAAGUGUGGGGAUCGAACAGGAUUAGAUACCCCGGUAAUG
rnacentral:rRNA from 1 species